rnacentral:rRNA from 1 species
CAGCAGCCACGGGAAUACGGAGGGAGCUAGCGUUGUUCGGAAUUACUGGGCGUAAAGCGCACGUAGGCGGCUUUGUAAGUUAGAGGUGAGAGCCUGGAGCUCAACUCCAGAACUGCCUUUAAGACUGCAUCGCUUGAAUCCAGGAGAGGUGAGUGGAAUUCCGAGUGUAGAGGUGAAAUUCGUAGAUAUUCGGAAGAACACCAGUGGCGAAGGCGGCUCACUGGACUGGUAUUGACGCUGAGGUGCGAAAGCGUGGGGAGCAAACAGGAUUAGAUACCCCCGUAGUCCCUGUCUCUUAUAC